CGUCUCAGUUCGGAUUGUAGUCUGCAACUCGACUACAUGAAGCUGGAAUCGCUAGUAAUCGCGGAUCAGAAUGCCGCGGUGAAUACGUUCCCGGGUCUUGUACACACCGCCCGUCACACCAUGGGAGUCGGAAAUGCCCGAAGUCUGUGACCGAACCGAAAGGAAGGAGCAGCCGAAGGCAGGUCGGAUGACUGGGGUGAAGUCGUAACAAGGUACC
rnacentral:rRNA from 1 species